GUCUGAUAUAUCUGCCUGCCUGCCUGCCUGCCUGUUUCUCAUCUCUCUCAGGAGUGUGAUGUCUUGAAAAACAGAAUUCUAUCUCAACUGCAACAUCUUGAUUAAUCUUUGGCAUACGGACUGAAACUCAGAAAAGAUCUGCCAAAUUAAUGAAACAAAUUAACUCCCCAACAGCACCAAGCAAUCUUCCAAAAGCAGCCCGGCUCCUCCAGUGGAAGGCUAGGUCCACCAGCUAAAAGAAACAGGGAUUCAUGGGCCAAUUUGUCUGACUGAUCAACAGAUGACGCAAGAAUGAAUCAGUUACCAACAGUGAGCAGCAGCACAAUGUCCCAUGAAUAACUGAACCUCAAACCAAGACUAGAUAAUUCAAUAAUACAGCC
rnacentral:lncRNA from 1 species